GACGAACGCUGGCGGCGUGCUUAACACAUGCAAGUCGAACGGAAAGGCCCUGCUUUUGUGGGGUGCUCGAGUGGCGAACGGGUGAGUAACACGUGAGUAACCUGCCCUUGACUUUGGGAUAACUUCAGGAAACUGGGGCUAAUACCGGAUAGGAGCUCCUGCUGCAUGGUGGGGGUUGGAAAGUUUCGGCGGUUGGGGAUGGACUCGCGGCUUAUCAGCUUGUUGGUGGGGUAGUGGCUUACCAAGGCUUUGACGGGUAGCCGGCCUGAGAGGGUGACCGGGCACAUUGGGAUAGAGAUACGGCCCAGACUGCGACGGGAGGCAGCAGGGGGGAAUAUUGCACGAUGGGCGGAAGCCUGAUGCAGCAACGCCGCGUGCGGGAUGACGGCCUUCGGGUUGUAAACAGCGUUCGCCUGUGACGCAGCGUGAGUGACGGUAAUGGGUAAAGAAGCACCGGCUAACUACGUG
rnacentral:rRNA from 1 species